UACGGAGGAUCCAAGCGUUAUCCGGAUUUAUUGGGUUUAAAGGGUGCGUAGGCGGUUGUAUAAGUCAGUGCUGAAAUAUCCCGGCUUAACCGGGAGGGUGGCAUUGAUACUGUACGACUUGAGUAAAGUUGAGGUUGGCGGAAUUGACGGUGUAGCGGUGAAAUGCUUAGAUAUCGUCAAGAACACCGAUUGCGAAGGCAGCUAACUAAGCUUUAACUGACGCUGAGGCACGAAAGUGUGGGGAUCAAACAGG
rnacentral:rRNA from 1 species